rnacentral:tRNA from 1 species
GCGAAAGUAGCUCAGCUGGUAGAGCAUCAGCCUUCCAAGCUGAGGGUCGCGGGUUCGAAUCCCGUCUUUCGCUCAA